UUGUCCCUUCGGCUAUAUCCGAUAAAAUUGAAACAAUACAGAGAAAUUAUCAUGACAGCUACGGAAGAAUAAUACACACAAAUAAAAAAAAGAUCUAAUUUUC